rnacentral:rRNA from 1 species
GGGGUACUCGAGCGGCGAACGGGUGAGUAACACGUGAGCAACCUGCCCUAGGCUUUGGGAUAACCCUCGGAAACGGGGGCUAAUACCGAAUAUUACUGCUGGACGCAUGUUUGGUGGUGGAAAGUUUUUCGGCCUGGGAUGGGCUCGCGGCCUAUCAGCUUGUUGGUGGGGUGAUGGCCUACCAAGGCGACGACGGGUAGCCGGCCUGAGAGGGCGACCGGCCACACUGGGACUGAGACACGGCCCAGACUCCUACGGGAGGCAGCAGUGGGGAAUAUUGCACAAUGGGCGGAAGCCUGAUGCAGCGACGCCGCGUGAGGGAUGACGGCCUUCGGGUUGUAAACCUCUUUCAGCAGGGACGAAGCGCAAGUGACGGUACCUGCAGAAGAAGCACCGGCCAACUACGUGCCAGCAGCCGCGGUAAGACGUAGGGUGCGAGCGUUGUCCGGAUUUAUUGGGCGUAAAGAGCUCGUAGGCGGCUUGUCGCGUCGACCGUGAAAACUUGGGGCUCAACCCCAAGCCUGCGGUCGAUACGGGCAGGCUAGAGUUCGGUAGGGGAGACUGGAAUUCCUGGUGUAGCGGUGAAAUGCGCAGAUAUCAG